CUCCGGCCGGUCCCCUCGCUUGUAGGGACUCGCCUUCCGGGACAGCCACCGCAGGCCUCUCGCUGCCCUCUGAGGGGAAGGGAGGAACCAAAUAGGUGGGAGAGAGACGCAGUGUGCUCUUCCGCCGCCCAAUCCCGCUGACGGUGCGCCGACCCUCCGCGCUCUUGUUCCCUUCCGCAGUCCGCGCCCGGAGCCCGGCGCCGGGGAGCUGUCCGUCCCAUUGGUUCUGAAUCAGCCGCUACGGAAACGCUCCAGGACCUUGAUACUUCUGAAGAUUACAGGUCGGUUAUGUCCUUGAACGUUCCUCAGUUUGGGUUUGUCUGAUGCUUCCUCAAGAUUGGAUCCAGGUUAUGUGUCUUUGGCAGAAAUAACACAGAAGUGAUGCUGUGCUUUUCUCCCUGCAUCCUAGGAGGUGGCAUAGGAUUUUGACUUGCCCCAUUACAGAAUCUUGCUUCAGACCCCAUGGGGGAUGUUCCUCAUAACUGCAGGUGGAGGAAGGAAGGAUUGUGUUAAUUAUUCCAUAGACAAUGUGUCCUUCAAGAAACUAGAAGAAGCUGGGCUUCCAAACAUGAGACAGAGAGUAGAAGAGCCCAUUUACAAGCAGCAGCAGGAGCAGUAGAAACAGUGAUGCAGAGGAGGUGAGUCACAACUUCCUCUGUGAGGAAAAAGGAACCGUGGAGGCCUGGGGUGUCCCCAAGGCCACUAGUCAGCUGCGAAAGCACUGCUGAUCUGCAAUGGUGCCUCAAUCUUGAACAUUUGAAAUUACUCCUACUCCAUUGUUAUUUUUAG